rnacentral:rRNA from 1 species
UACGUAGGGGGCUAGCGUUGUCCGGAAUCAUUGGGCGUAAAGAGCGUGUAGGCGGUCCGGUAAGUCCGCUGUGAAAGUCGGGGGCUCAACCCUCGAAUGCCGGUGGAUACUGUCGGGCUAGAGUGCGGAAGAGGCGAGUGGAAUUCCUGGUGUAGCGGUGAAAUGCGUAGAGAUCAGGAGGAACACCUAUGGCGAAAGCAGGUUACUGGCCCAAUACUGACACUGAGCUGCGAAAGCUAGGGGAGCAAACAGG